AUCAACAAAACAUAGAAAUCACAUGUUCUUCAUAAUAAUAAUAGUGAUGAGUGAUGAUAAUAAUAAUAUUUCUGUAAUAAAAGCACAACAAAGUCAUUGUUUGCAUUUAUAUUGGGAUUUUAUUGCGCCCCCUUGUGUCCGCCGCGCCUCUGUAGUGCGCUCUAUAGCGCCCUUCAUCAGGUGGGGGGCGGAGGGAUCUCGGAGAGUGAUGAUGGAGGGAUACAGGUACCGUUUCACAUAUCACCGCUCACAAACAUAAUGGAGAAGAAACAGUCGAAGCCAUCUGGUGCCCAAUUUCGGAAAAAAAAAAGAAAAGAAGAGGAGGAGAAACGAGGAAAAGAUGCAGGAGCCCUACACAGAUAUUUUGGGAUGACAUCAGCUGCCACUGAGGGACACCUCCACUGCUCAUACCAGUAGGCCAGUGUUUGAACUUGAGGAGGGACAGUCUGCUGGCACCACAUCUCCCCAGGAAGAUACUGUAGAGAGACCUACCAGUAUAUGUGAACUUGAUGAGGGACAGCCAGCUGCCACAUCUCCCCAACAAGAUAUGUCAGAGCUCCGGACCCCACGUGACUCUCAGUUAGUGGACGCCAUUUUGGCAUGCACUAAAGGUAAACAAACACGGAUGUAACCAUGAACAUGAACGGGAUCCGCUUGGAUUUUACUUCGUCUGAGUUUACUUCACACUUUAAAACAGAAGAAAUCGUUUUAUAUAGUCAGAAAUUAAAUAGACUAAACAUCUCCGACCCUUACCGUGCCCCUGGGAUACUUUUUAAAAACGCCAGAAGCUGUCGGAGCGGGCUUCUUACCGGCACAACACCGGACCUGACCGGGGAACCCCUUGGGAUUCCCCCGGCCGGAGGAGCUGGGGAGAGGUCUGGGACUCUCGACUCUACUGCCCGCUCCGACGCCAGAAGCUGUCGGAGCGGGCUUCUUACCGGCACAACACCGGACCUGACCGGGGAACCCCUUGGGAUUUACCCGGAGGAGCUGGCUCCGGUGGCUGGGGAGAGGGAAGUCACGCUACUGCCCCCGCAACCCGACUCCGGAUACGCGGAUGAAAAUGGAUGGAUGGACGGACAAAUAACAGAUUUACACGUAAGUAGUCUCGGUGAGACAGAUAAUAGCGAUCCAAAGUGCUUUUUAUCUGUGAUCUGACAAUUGAUCAACCAUUGCUUAAAAAUUAAAUACAGCUUAGCCGGUUAAUUGCUGUGAUCAUAAAACACGUAAACGGCAGCACGCAGAACUCACAAGGCAACGUUUUACGUGAUGUUUACUUGCUGCUAUGAGUAAUAAGACAGAAAAAGCCACGCCAAAAUAAGUUUAGGAAGUCCACUAAGAAUCACAAUAAAAGCAUUUAAAAUAAAUACCACACACAGUUGAGGAAACGUUGGUUUAAGUACCUGAUAUGAAGUGGUCGCUGCAUAAGCGAAAACCUUUACUCUCGGGAUCCCACAGCUUCAUUUUAGCCCGGUCACUAGUGCGUUUUAUUACAAUGAUCCAACGUUUGCGGCGCUCCGGAUCUUGGGGAAUCCUGUAGAUGGAUCAUUCCUUAUGUCGUCCGCGUCUGUUCUGCAUCCUGGGGCACAACAGGAAUCUACCAUAUUUCCCGUUUGAUUGAGUUAUCUGACAAUAACAAAUAGUCCAGCUGCCGGCUUCUGCCUGCCAAUAUGGCGCCGUUUCGAUUUGAACUGUUGCAUGCCGGGAGAAGUGACGUCAACUCCCGGAGCUCUAUAGAGAAGCCUGAACGAUCAACCAAUGAGUCCCAUUGAAGGUUAUGAUGAGCCUCUUUCUUCAGACCCAGCCAAGUGGCCAUCACCAAUUACCGACAGCAUACGCACAGAGCUAGUUCGAAGAGGACAUACCAAGGUGCCAACUACUUUCAUAUUUCCCAGGAAUGAAGGCGAUGGCAGGUGUUGUCAUCAUCACUAAUUCAGUAGAACUUUGACAAGUGGUGAGAAGGUGGCCAGGAGCUAGAUGUUGUAUUCAGUUAGCAAACGUUGUUAUAUAUAAUACACUCCACGCAAUUUGAAACAAAG